UUAAAAAUCCAUAUUUAAUACAUGAAAAUUUUUCUGACCUUUCUACUUCUUUUAGACGGAUCUUUUUAAUUCUAUUCAUCAUAUUCUGACUCAUCUCUCAUUUUCAUCAUUUGCAUGUGAAUCUUAAAAUGAUAAUAUUUUGUUAUAAAAAUGAAGAAAUACACACAUUGUUCAUAAAAACUCCAAGAGUCAACUCUAGGAGAAAGAGAGAGUACAUCGAUUUGUUCGAUCCCAUAAAUAAAACAUUGCCUACAGAGGCUACAACCGUUCCAGUUGGCAAACAACUUUUGUUUCUAGACAAUAAUUGGAGUUGUAAAUUUAAACGUUUGAUACAGUUUGUCAAAUUAUUAACACAAGUUUAAUAAAACUAGAAUUUAUUUGCAGCUAGAAUUUACUAUCAUUAUCAUCAAGAGAAAAGACAAAAUAUGAUAAUUUUACUUAUGAUAAAUGACAAUAUUGACAUAUAUUAAUUAUUAUUAUCAAUAAAAAAUAAAAACGUGAUUAAUAACAUGUCAAAAUUGAUCUAUCCAAAAGUCUUUAGAGUUCGGAAUUGUGGAAAAAUAAUUCUUACUUGAGUGAAUAUGAAAUAUGAAAUAUUUAUAUAGACAUUUUAUUUCACAAUUAUUGAUCUUAUAAGUUUCAUGUCAAAGUGAUUUGUCAGAAUAACGUUACUAAGCCUUAAUGUGAUAAACACAUGUCAUGUUCAAUCCAAUGUAUUUCAAAGAACCGUGAGCUAGGUCACUUAUAUGUGAAUCGAUAAACAAGUGAUGUAUCACGUUUACUACUCGAGUCAUUCAUUAAAUUGCGUCGCUAAAGUAACAUUAACCCUUUGACUACAGAGCGCUCGGAAAAAAAGACAUUUUUGCGGCACGAAGGCGGCACGAAGGCGGCACGCGGCAGUAAUCGGCACAAUGAGCGAAGCGCAAUAAAAACAUUUCCAAACAAACAGCUUUGGCCAUUCAUCGGGCCUGGUGAAAAGCUCGUGGAGCGAUUUCUUCAAAAAGAAAUUCGAAAAAAGAAGGAUGUAUUGCCUAGAAAUACAACCACGAGUUUCGAAGAAUGCGCUUUGGAAACAUCCAAUAUUAGAUCUGUGGUACCAAAACAAAGUGCUUGAACUUUAUUACACAGUUUCCACUCAUCUAGAAGUUCAUGCAGCUCACAAGCUUAGUCGUUUCCGCAGGAAUUUCCAAUAAUUUUUCAAAUAAUUUGUAAAUUGUUUUAUUUAUUAAUCAUUAUUUCUAUGAUCUUGUUUUAUCUCUGUCUGGCAAUUUCUACAUUUCUUUUUCAAACGUUUUUAUAAUUUUAAUAAUUAAAAUAAGAAAUAACAUUAUACUUAAUAUAAUACAGAGCAGCUCAGAGCGAGAUGCGAGAUGUAACGUUAUACGAGAAGAGAACGCUCUCUUAUGUGAUGACCAACGCCGCUUAUGUCAUUCUCGCUUUUGUUUCCUUACGAAUUGCGAAAGAUAUGCAGCGUGUACGUAAGUACAGCUGCGCUGUCAUAUAAUAUAACCGUGAUCAAUACUGAGAUUUUCACUUACAUGUAUAUUUAUAAGGAGCAGUCGUGACAAAUAUCCUUUCGAAACAAGAUAAUAAAUAAAAGCUUAAUUUCU